GCCCAGUGAUGAGACCAAGGCGAAUACGAGCUAACUGAAUGAGAGUUGGGUUCUUCUUGCCUUGACUGGCAGGUAAUCUUGGCAGUGCAGGGGAGUUUUCCUGCUCUGCUGUAAGGGCCUGCCUACAGUAAUUUAGCCCAACCCUAAUUCUUCCUCUGGAGUCGGAGUGAAGUGAUGCUGGGAUGAAGCUGACAGUGUGUUUGUUGUGUGUGUGUGUUUGUUGUGAGUGUAAGAGGCAAGAAGUACACCCAGCUCUCUUUUGCUUUCAGUAAGCGAUGAGUUCCUUCUUUGGUAAUCUGAGGGUG
rnacentral:snoRNA from 1 species